rnacentral:rRNA from 1 species
UACGUAGGGUGCAGGCGUUAAUCGGAAUUACUGGGCGUAAAGCGUGCGCAGGCGGUUUCUUAAGUCAGAUGUGAAAGCCCCGGGCUCAACCUGGGAAUGGCCGUUGAAACUGGCGAACUGUAGUGUGGCAGAGGGGGGUGGAAUUCCGCGUGUAGCAGUGAAAUGCGUAGAGAUGCGGAGGAACACCGAUGGCGAAGGCAGCCCCCUGGGCUGACACUGACGCUCAGGCACGAAAGCGUGGGGAGCAAACAGG